AGAUGCACUGAGUUUAGCUUCUUUCCAUUUUGACUAAUUUCAUAUAGCGAAAACUUGGUAGUUUUUUUAAUAUGCCGUUGUUCUAAGCAUCAAUAAGCGGUUUCUUUGUGCUUAUCAUACAGUUAGUUGAAAGCUAGAUAAUUGCGUGUAAACUGGGCCAUUUCAAACUAGCCCGCAACUAGUUGUUUUCAGUAAUCGAGAAUAUGACUGCCUACGAGCAUGCAAUGCAGUACUUAACUACAAAUCAAAGUGGGUACAAGUAACCGGUUACCCGCUGUGCGAAUAUGCAUACAAACAUACAUAGAAAGAGAUAUGAAUUAAAAAUACAGCAGGAAAAGAAAUCACAACAAAAAGGCGAAAAAUCAGUAGCAACAAUGGACUGGAAUUCAAGAGAAUUUAACAAUGCCGUUGAUUUCGAGCGUACGAAAAUUGAAUAGCCGCCGCCAGUAAUCCAUUAGACUAGCGCCUAUUUUUAUGUGGUUUAAGCAGCUGGCUUCAGUUUCAUAAUAUUUUCAAUUAAUGUUUUAUUUUUUUGUAGAAGAUAGUAUAUUUACAUAUGGAUGUAUGUAUGUUUGUAUUUGCUUUUUGUUUAGCUACUCCAAAAAAAGGGACAUGAUGCAUUAGCGCAAUUGUGCCAGAAUUGUAAUUGAAUUCAGAAGUAGAUUUGAUGCCGUUAGUUAUAAAUUUUUUUCGC